rnacentral:sRNA from 12 species
UGCCUAAACUCUGUUUAUAUAGGGCAUGGCACAAAAACCCAGUAAGAGAUGUUAAGCUCGUCGUCAGAGCACUCUUACUGGGUCAUAGCUCGAAAGAGUUAUGGGUGGCCGAAAGGCUAUC